AGAGAAACAAUCAAACAAGUAAAGCAGAGCAGGUGAGGUGAGUAAGGUUGAUGAUUGAAAUCUGAGAUAAUAGAUGAACUUUAAGAACCUGAAAACUAAUUGGGAACCCACCUCGUAUAUAUAGGCAUCUCGAGAAGUCCAUACGAAUCGACUUCUACUCGCAUGCAAGCACUGCAAGUCAUCCAUUGGAGUAUCGUCGAUGUUAUAUCGGAACUGCAGAUUUAUCAUCGGGAAAGGAAGGAAGUUAAGGAGAUAAUGAAUGAUUUUGCGAGAAGGAUGUUAGGGUUAGGGAUUCGAGAGUGUUCAGAGAGAAUCGGGGGAGAUGAGGAGUCUGGUUUUUUUUUUAUUUCGAAAUUGGGAGAUGCAAAUAAUGAAAUUGGGAACUGAAACAUCGAAAUUGGGAGUCUGCUUAUAUAUUAAUAUCCAAUUCCGGGCGGACUCGGGUCGGAUACCAUCGAAUCCGAUCCCCACCCAUUACCCGACCAUUUCGGAUUCGGGUUAAUCUGAAUCCGAUUCCCAACCCGGUCAAACCGAAUUUUACCCGCGUUGACCGGUUCGAAUUCGGACGAAUUUUCGGGUUUCCGGACCAGAAUGCCAAGCCUA
rnacentral:lncRNA from 1 species